GACCCUGUAACUCAGUUGGUUAGAGUGUGGAGCUAAUACCUUUGUGUUACUCCAAAGCCGCCAGUUCGAGCCUGGUCAGGGUCA
rnacentral:tRNA from 1 species